GGGCUCUCAAACCCCGCCCAUAUUCGGACUUCCUGAAUGGAGCGGUCGGCGGGUCGCCCGUACGGUCGCCUCAGGGGAGAGAGAUGGAGGAGUGAGGAUAGGGGUCUUGGAAAUGGUCUGAAGGCCUACCUGCCCGUCAAUGGGAUGUACCCGCGCUCGGAACCAUCUGAAAGUCAUUCUCAGGAGCAGUGACCUGGAACACUGGACAGUUGGCAUUAAACAUCCAAAUGUAAUCUACUGUACGGUACCAUACAAUCCGCAAAAGGUGAAACAUGAAGCGACGAUGAACCGGAGCUAUCGCAAAGAAACUAUCUCCUUUCAACUAAUUACCGUGGUUUUACUUUCCGUGCGUAACUUUUCGUCUUGUGACAUUCAACUUUCGGAUUGCUAUCAUAGGAUUGUAAAUCAGACUCAAUUAGGCCCUGCUACUGAACAGCAUUUGGGGUUCAUUCAAAGUGUGGUUAAUGAUCUUUCCACCCUCGAAGGCGCCAUUCUAUCCGUCCAAACCUCAAGACAACGCAUCCCACAGUGCUUAUUUAAUGAGAACAUGGGACAAGCUGUAUUUUGAGCAAAGCAAUACGCUCAUAAUCAAGUAAUACUUUGACAGAAGGCAUCAACAGCUAGCUACAUCAUCUGUACUUCGACAAAAAUCAAACAAACUCACUUUUACUCUUUUGUUACCUAGCAUGGAGAUUAAAAAGAAUAUUUGGCGAAUUCAUCAAAAAGUCUUAAAUCUUAUCUUUUGCCUGAAGGUUUAUAACACCAAAACAACUUUGCUAUGUUUUAGCUUUGCAUUAUUAGCAUUAAGCUAGCUGACUUUGGCAAGACAAAAGUGUCUGUGCUUUUUUUCUCUUGCUUUUAUGUUCAGUCCGACACUAAACUUCAACUAGGAAUGACAAUAAACAGCUUGUAUUUUU